CACGUAGGGGGCGAGCGUUGCCCGGAUUUAUUGGGCGUAAAGAGCUCGUAGGCGGCUCAGUAAGUCAGGUGUGAAAACUCCAGGCUCAACCUGGAGACGCCACUUGAUACUGCUGUGGCUAGAGUCCGGUAGGGGAGCAUGGAAUUCCUGGUGUAGCGGUGAAAUGCGCAGAUAUCAGGAGGAACACCAGCGGCGAAGGCGCUGCUCUGGGCCGGUACUGACGCUGAGGAGCGAAAGCGUGGGGAGCGAACAGG
rnacentral:rRNA from 1 species